rnacentral:lncRNA from 1 species
GACAUUUGGAGUCAUUAGUUACAUUUCAAGCCUGUUUGCUUUCAUGAGGUGAAGAAACCAAGGACAGGCAGUCUAAGGAGGAGAUGUUGCUAACAGCCCCAGCUCAGCUGCUGCAGUGACUCAGAGACAGGCACUUCCAGGGACGCAUCCCUGUUCCCGGUCCCGGCUGGCCCCGCAGGUGUCCCACCACAGACGGCAGAAGCACCUAAGAUCAUCCAUGCUUGGAUUUCCUUUAUUGGCUGUUUCACAGGAGACUGCAAGGGGGGUUUUAUGCUUCCAUGGCUCCUUUCCAUCCUGCCCUGUGAGGAAGUUACCCAACUACAACGGUGUGCGGUUUCAGACAGAAAACAAAAGCUGGCUGUUUUGAAAUCAAACCAGAAGUGGCUCUAUUACACAUUUCAUGCUAUUGAAAGUAUAUUUGACUAAAUACGUAUUUAAACUAUUGUGGUAUUGUUUUGAAUUCUAAGGUUUUCAAAUGUGUCCAGUGAAUAUGUCACUUCCACAAACUAAGAUUUCAGUUUUGACAUGCAACUCACAUCUAGCCUGAAAAAUUAAUGCUGUAGUUAAAAACAUACUUUUCUUUCUUCAUUAUACUGACAGAAAGCCAAAAGCAAAAUUACCAUGGAAGCUGAAGCUGUUGCUCCUAGAGUGUAUACAGAUAGUUGCAGUAGGAAUACUUUUAUCCAUCCUGCUCAUCAUUAGUUUCUCCCAGCAAGUUCUAGCUGGGGAGUUGAUUUCUUUGGGAUCUAGAGAAUGGAGGGUGGAUUCCCCAGUCAUGGAGCAGGCUUUCACUUCAAAGCAGUUAACGCAUUGUGCACGGA